GACGUAGGGCGCGAGCGUUGUCCGGAUUAUUGGGCGUAAAGAGCUCGUAGGCGGCUUGUCGCGUCGACUGUGAAAUCCCGCGGCUCAACUGCGGGUCUGCAGUCGAUACGGGCAGGCGUAGAGUUCGGUAGGGGAGACUGGAAUUCCUGGUGUAGCGGUGAAAUGCGCAGAUAUCAGGAGGAACACCGGUGGCGAAGGCGGGUCUCUGG
rnacentral:rRNA from 1 species